GUGGGGAAUAUUGCACAAUGGGCGCAAGCCUGAUGCAGCGACGCCGCGUGAGGGAUGGAGGCCUUCGGGUUGUAAACCUCUUUUAUCGGGGAGCAAGCGAGAGUGAGUUUACCCGUUGAAUAAGCACCGGCUAACUACGUGCCAGCAGCCGCGGUAAUACGUAGGGUGCAAGCGUUAUCCGGAAUUAUUGGGCGUAAAGGGCUCGUAGGCGGUUCGUCGCGUCCGGUGUGAAAGUCCAUCGCUUAACGGUGGAUCCGCGCCGGGUACGGGCGGGCUUGAGUGCGGUAGGGGAGACUGGAAUUCCCGGUGUAACGGUGGAAUGUGUAGAUAUCGGGAAGAACACCAAUGGCGAAGGCAGGUCUCUGGGCCGUUACUGACGCUGAGGAGCGAAAGCGUGGGGAGCGAACAGGAUUAGAAACCCCAGUAGUCC
rnacentral:rRNA from 1 species